rnacentral:ncRNA from 1 species
UCACGAUAAUGGCAAACCUGUUGAAAGGCAGGGACGCAAAGCUACAGGGCCUUCUCUUAUGAUAAGAUGGCAGCCAGUUACCGAA